rnacentral:lncRNA from 1 species
UAUUUCUCGUAACUGACGGUUGAGCUCCAUCGUUGCUCGUGCGGCUUCAACCUCACGCUGGUUGUCCGCUUGCGACGUCACCGCUACAGCCUGGCCAGUGCCGCGGCCCAUCGAGCCUGCAUCCGUGCUGCGAUUCAGGAAUGCACGGAGAUAGACCUUCUCUGACUUGAAGAAACCACAUCCGCCCGGCCUCCCCUACAGAAUCACAACGAAACUACUACUCGGUCAAGGGGGGAAUCAUUAUGGAACCAAUUAUGCAACAAACAAAAUGAAUGUUUAUAGCAUCCUAUCUAAUACGUGUGAGCACUCUCAGGAUCUGGUCCACCGCGGAUCACCGUGGAUAUACAUGCUUACCAUGUAGUAUGGGCACUUGUAGAAUCGCUGCCCUUCGGUCUCAGGCCUCGUCGAAACGAUCAAUUCCACUUGCGUUCUUCCACAGAACGG